AUGACUGUUAUGAAUAAAACACACAAAAAAGAAACUCUCUUCCACUCAUGGUUGUGGAAGGGUAGAUAUUCCUGGGAUUGGGAUUUAUCCAAUUAUUUCCUCCAAAAGGGACAAGGCAGAUCUGGAGCUGUGAUGAGAAGCUGGCAGGCAGACACUAGGGGACUGGCCCCAAUCCCCCUCACCCACAAGACUCUCCUGCCAAUGACAGCUAACCCGGGGGAGCCCCAGAAUGCCACUGGGCAAGCCUGGGUGGGGCCCACCGGCCGCUGCAUCUGACUGCGGGUCAGGUCAGGUGCUUCCACAGUGAAGCACCACGGUCGUGUCCUUGUGCGGGGACCACAGGCAAGUCACUUGGUCCUUCUGGCCAGCUUCUGUCUUUGCGUCCUAUUGGCCUUGCCUGCCGGCUCCGGCUGUCAUCAAAGGAGGGCUGUUUUUGAGAUCAAGUAUCUGAAUGUUCUUACAAUGUGAGGUUGAAGUGCAAUUACUCACAGGGCCUGUCUCAGAAGCCAGACCAUACUGCUGAACUGGAUUAGUCAUUUUGCUGCCUCUAAGCAUACAGCCACCUAUAAACUGGAACUUCCUAAUGGCAGCCUGUCACUUCCACCGAGACCCACCAGUUGAAUGCCUUCAGACCUGUUCUCCACAUCCUCAUCAAAGCUGAGGCAGGACCGCUGGUAUUUUCCGAGCGUAUUUAAGGUGCACUGUAGAAACACCAAGGGAUGAUGCAGUGAUGACACCAGCACCCCCCACCCCACUUCUUCAUCUUGGGAGGUAACUCUGUGGGCCAGGCUGAGUUAUUCGGGAUUCUGAUUUUGACUCCAUGCCACCAGCCCUCUCCCCUCUGGGCUCCUUCGGGAUGGCAGUCCUGGAGCUCUUCUUUCCUGCCUUUGACAUGAUAAACAUAACGCCCUUUUCGGCUAAGGGACUGUCUGGCUGUCGCAGGGCACACAUGUGCUCCACCUCCACCUUCAAGGGCAGCCACUGUGUAUCCCUGGACUGGGAGGAGCUGGAAGAGGACCGGAAGGGAAACAGGAAGCAGGGAAUGCUUUGUCCAAGCCCCUCUCCUUAAGGAUGAACCACCUUUUCUGUGAGAAGCUGGAAUUCUCUGCCUUUAUUUUCCCAGCAGCCAGGUUCCCACUCAGGGGUGAAGCAACCCUGGGG
rnacentral:lncRNA from 1 species